rnacentral:misc_RNA from 1 species
UUUUCCUUAAGAGUCUGAAAUCAGAACAAUAUAACCUCACAAUAUACACAAAAGAUUCUUGAAAAUGUCAAUAACCAGAAUUCCUCAGCAUUCAUUACCUCUAUUGGAGCCAUUCAAAGGCAAAAUAUGAAGAAGGAUUUCAAGGGGCUCGGUAUCUGCGGUCAUGACAACGAAUUCCGAAACUCCUCUGUUUAGUGUCUUCGUAGCUUCAUUAGCAUCCUUUUUAUUCUGCUUAUAAUUAGCAGCUUGUUG